rnacentral:rRNA from 1 species
GAUGAACGCUGGCGGCGUGCCUAAUACAUGCAAGUCGAGCGAACAGAUGAGGAGCUUGCUCCUCUGACGUUAGCGGCGGACGGGUGAGUAACACGUGGAUAACCUUCCUAUAAGACUGGGAUAACUUCGGGAAACCGGAGCUAAUACCGGAUAAUAUAUUGAACCGCAUGGUUCAAUAGUGAAAGACGGUUUUGCUGUCACUUAUAGAUGGAUCCGCGCCGCAUUAGCUAGUUGGUAAGGUAACGGCUUACCAAGGCAACGAUGCGUAGCCGACCUGAGAGGGUGAUCGGCCACACUGGAACUGAGACACGGUCCAGGCUCCUACGGGAGGCAGCAGUAGGGAAUCUUCCGCAAUGGGCGAAAGCUUGACGGAGCAACGCCGCGUGAGUGAUGAAGGUCUUCGGAUCGUAAAACUCUGUUAUUAGGGAAGAACAAAUGUGUAAGUAACUAUGCACGUCUUGACGGUACCUAAUCAGAAAGCCACGGCUAACUACGUG